rnacentral:rRNA from 1 species
UACGUAGGGUGCGAGCGUUGUCCGGAAUUAUUGGGCGUAAAGGGCUCGUAGGCGGUUUGUCGCGUCGGGAGUGAAAACCUUGGGCUUAACUCAGGGCUUGCUUUCGAUACGGGCAGACUAGAGGUAUGCAGGGGAGAACGGAAUUCCUGGUGUAGCGGUGAAAUGCGCAGAUAUCAGGAGGAACACCUAUGGCGAAGGCAGCUCGCUGGGACGGUACUGACGCUGAGACGCGAAAGCGUGGGGAGCAAACAGG